UACGUAGGGAGCAAGCGUUGUCCGGAAUCAUUGGGCGUAAAGCGCGUGUAGGCGGUUACAUAAGUCUGUUGUGAAAGCCGGAGGCUCAACCUUCGAAAGCCGAUGGAUACUGUGUGACUUGAGUACGGAAGAGGAGAGUGGAAUUCCUGGUGUAGCGGUGAAAUGCGCAGAUAUCAGGAGGAACACCAACGGCGAAGGCAGCUCUCUGGGACGUUACUGACGCUGAGACGCGAAAGCGUGGGGAGCAAACAGG
rnacentral:rRNA from 1 species